CACGGAGUUAGCCGAUCCUUAUUCUUCUGGUACAUUCAGUUCCGUAUACAUACGGAAGUUUAUUCCCAGAUAAAAGCAGUUUACGACCCAGAGGGCUGUCUUCCUGCACGCGGCAUGGCUGGUUCAGAGUUGCCUCCAUUGACCAAUAUUCCUUACUGCUGCCUCCCGUAGGAGUCUGGUCCGUGUCUCAGUACCAGCGUGGGGGGUCAUCCUCUCAGAUCCCCUAGACAUCGCGGUCUUGGUGGGCCGUUACCCCGCCAACUAACUAAUGUCACGCAUGCCCAUCUUGAUCCUAUAAAUAUUUGAACAUUGGAUAAUGCUAUCCUGUGUUUUUAUGUCGGUGUUAAUCCGGAUUUCUCGGGCUAUCCCCCUGAUCAAGGUAGGUUGCAGUACGCGUUACGCACCCGUGCGCCACUGUCAUAUCCAGCAAGCUGGAUAUCUCGUUCGACUUGCAUGUAUUAGGCUGCCGCUAGUCGUUC
rnacentral:rRNA from 1 species